CCAGCUAUUAAUCAUAUCGAUAAAAUACUCUGGGGGCACAGAAGGACGGUGAUCUCCUCCAGAUCAUCCAACUAGGGCGGCAGAGCUGGAAUUUGGACCAGGUCCUGUGGCUCCAAUCCCUGAAUUCUUAGCCGCUGGGGAGAAAAGACAAAGCGAAAGCAACAUCCCCAACAACCCUGCAGACCGAUGGAAGCCCUUCAAAAAGGACAGGAGGGCUGCUUCCCAUUCCAGACCCGGCCCUGCUGGAUCCUGGGCGGAGGGAGAGCUGGCUUCCCGAGGGGCUGCUCUCUCGGCGUCCCCUCCUUUGCCAUCAUCUGCCAGGCCCAGGUUUCUCCUGGCCCUUUCCAGCUUCCGGCCGUUCGCACCAGGCCAGGUCGCAGGGUCAAGAGCUUGCGAGCCCUCUAUUUACUGUUUGGUUUCCAUGGUGACACGUAGGCGCCGUCAGCGCCUCCCGUCACAGGCCCCGCAGCGCAGCGCCCACCCGGCGCCGUGACGUCUGCCCGCCGCUUCCGCUCUGCCCAUAUUUGGCGUAGCCCGCGAGGCGCGGGUGGGGAGGAGGCCGCGAGCCGGACUCCCGCCUCGUCCCGCCCCCUGUUCCCGGCCACGCCCCCGCGGGGUGCUGGCGAGAGCUGUGUGUCACGCGCCCCCCGCCCCCGCCCCUUCCCGCAGAUCCGAGGUGCGGCGAGGGACGGGGGCGGUAGGGACCCCUAGAGAGGGCGUGGGUGAUCGGAUGAGCUCUGAGGUCUCUAAACAUUCCUUGACUCUUUGGGGCUGCAGGCAAGAUUUGCGGCUGUCUCCUCCGUCCCGGCUGGGUGAGCUCGGUUCACGAUUUUGUCACUCGGUGCCGGAAAUCAGGGAAACAGCCGUCCCCAGCCGAACCCUAUUUUAUAUUUUAUAGGCUCCAACUUCAAAUUCUCGCCCAGGGCGCGGUGGAAAGCUUUGAAGCCGGAGGCUCUGGGAUCAGUGUUGCCCCUUGGGGGAUAAGUGACCUUGGGAAGGUCACUUCCCUUUACCCGGCCGGCCGGCUAGAAAGAACUUGUGGGGGUGGGUGGCGUGAUCGCGCUGUUUGCAGCAGUCUCAGGUCUGUGAGGGGGGUCGUCCGUCACCUUAGAACUGUCCCCUAUCCCCAUGGCGUCAUGGAAUGUCAGUGAAGCUCGCUGAGGACCCCUACAAUUCCGAUCCUGAUAGUAGCCGGAAUUGUGUGGCUCUUGGAGCCUCGCUGGGCUGAGGCACUUAAUUAACUCAGUUAACUGAUGACUGAAUGGAUCCCAGGCAAAUUACCUUCGGAUUUCACCUUCAUAAAUCCGGAUGCCCGCAAUUCCUCUUACAGGCGGAAGGAAGAAUAUUGCGAUGAUUAAUAACCGCGCAGCAGGGUUGCUGAGGGGUUGGAACGGCUUCUCUUGUCCAGAGAACCCGAGUCGGCUGUCCUGAAACCAGUCUUGGACCAGCAGCUGGUCGUUCUUCAUAGUUACCCAAGCCCUGCAUGAAGCUUUUCGCAGCCAAGACAAGAGCAGAAGGCACGGAGCCCGAACCCGUGGGAACCCCUUUUUGCGCACUCGAAGACCGAGUGCGAAGGCAGCUCAGACUGAGAAGACUGGUGCCCACCGCCGGCCUCAGGGAUCCCCACCGGCUGGUUGGAGGAGUCUGGGAUCCUUCCCCUCUGAUUGUACUCGGAGCUAGAGCUGUAGAAGCAGCAGCUCUGCCCCCUGGUGGACAUGGGAGGCACAGCGCCCUUCUCCAACUCAAAAGCUCCACCGUGGUGCUGCAGGAGAGGAAGGAAGCCCUCUUUGUUCCCUUUGAUAGAGCAAAAAAUUUGGCACAGGAAAAAUAAUCCCUUUCUGGCUUAAUUCUGAGGAUCUGGUCAGUUUGGAUGCAGUAAAGAUUUGUAUUGUUUCUCUUGCCUGGA